CAUUUUAGGCCAUUUCCACUGUAUUUAAUGGUGCUGCAGUUGGAUGUUAUUUUGGUUAUGUACUGUCAGUGGCAGUGGACAACAUCAUGUCUAAACCCAUGAGCCAUUUCAUCACCAACAACAGCCUUCAUCUGUUCACUUUCUACAACAUACCUCAAGCUGUUUUUGACAUGAAUCCAAAAGACUGGUCUGAUGUAGAGGUGUUUGUAGCU